AAUCUGGAUUUUGUCAAAAGCCUCGGAGCAGACGAGGUUCUUGACUACAAAACUCCCGACGGUGCAGCUCUGAAAAGCCCUUCUGGUCGCAAAUACGAUGUAGUGAUCCACUGUGCUUCUGGUAUUCCUUGGUCUACCUUUGAACCUAAUCUAAGUUCAAACGGGAAGGUAAUCGACAUAACCCCUGGUCUUAGUGCUUUCCUAACUUGUGCUAUAAAAAAGCUUACCUUCUCAAAGAAGAAGCUGGUACCACUCUUUAUGUCACCUAAAAAGGAGAACCUCGAUUAUCUGGUUAACUUAUUGAAAGACGGGAAGCUUAAGACGGUAAUCGAUUCAAAGUAUCCCCUAAGUAAGGCUGAGGAAGCAUGGGCUAAGAGCAUUGAUGGUCAUGCCACUGGUAAGAUCAUUGUGGAGCCUUAAUGUAAGAAAUAUUACUUUAUACUUACUGCAGUGAUGCUUGGAGGUCAUGCUGCUUGUGUGUAUAAUUAGGAUUUGUGUAUCUUGAAAAUUAUGUGUAUGAAAUGUAUGGUUAAUAUACACGUUGGAUGAUAUUGCAAAAAUUUUCUUAAUGUGUUAUAAGCUUUGUUUUCAUAAAUUUAGCUCUUCUUUUAUAUGGUUCCUACUUUUCCUUACUUUUUCUAGUUGAUAAUUUGAGCAAUGAAAUGUUGUUGGGACUUGGAGUUAUAUAUGUGUUUUUUCAUGUAUAUUUUAUAAAUUUAUGUUUGGAGUUAAUUGCCGUCUUUUAUAAUAAUGUCUAUUUUAAAGUUAAAAAUACUUGUUGAAAAUUGUAUGGUUGAAAAUUGUAUGGAUUUUCAUUGGAUACAUAUUUCAAAAUUUUUUAUAAUUAAAGUUUUGCUUUUAAAUUAAAUUUCUUGUGAAUAAUAUCUAUUAUAUAUAAUAUUUGAAAGUUUGUUGAGCAAAUUUUUUAUGAUUUUUAUUUUGUUAGAAAAUAUUUAAAACUUAUGAAAUUACUUUUUUUUUUAUCAUAUCUUCAAUUAUUUAUUGUAACCCAUUGGUUUUGAUUUUAUAGGAUGUAGUAAAAAAAUUAAAAAAAUAAUUAUAUAAAUAAAUGUGGCACUUGUCGUACCAUUAAUCCACUUAUAAAAUAUAAAAACCUUCAUUGGCGAUGUAUCAAAUAAUUACCCAUUAAUUUUUAUCAUUUUCAACUGUAUUGACGUAUGAUUACCUUUUAAUCCUCAACGCAUGUGGAGUCUUUAGAAGCAAUGUAUAGAAUAAUUUUCGUUCGAAAUAUUUUUCCCAAACCUUGCGAUCAUAUCUGUAUAUUUGUUAUCUUCUUGAAGGUUAAUAAAUAAUGGCUUGCUUGUUUUUGGCAAUUUUUUUGCGUAAAAUACUAACAAUUUUAUGUCUAAAAACCAAAAGUUAUGUUCAAAUGUGUGCCUUUUAUGCCUCUUGAGUUUCGUAUUUUUCUAAAUUUUCAACUUCUUUAAAUUAUAAUUUUUCUUUAAAAAAUUAUAAUUUUUUUAUAUAUUAGUUCUCUUAAUAUAAAUUUUCGCUAACAAAGAAAACAAGUGGUUAUCUUCUCAUGUCAAAUUUAAAAAUUUGACUUAAAUAUAAAAUGACUCAAAUUUAUUUAAUUCAAAUUCGAAAUUAUUUAAACUCAAAUAGAUUUGAAUAUAAAAUAAUUUGAUUUCGAAUCGAAACUACAAAACUCAAAAUAGCCUAAACAACCUCAAAAAUUGAAAUGAGUCAAACUCAAAAUUGACCCAAUUUAAUACCAACCUGAUCUAAUCAAUUGAUAUAAUUUACUUUUCUUAUUAAUGAAAAUGGCCACAUUUACAAGAGGAUGCAAAUCAGUGUAUCACUUUCUUGAUAUAGGUACAUAUUGAUAUCGACAUUUUCAAUGUACCAUUUUAAGUUUAUUGAUGUUUUUAAAUAUUUUUCACAUAUAAUUUUUUUUUCUCCAAGUUGUUUGCUUCUUAUAUUUUGUUUUGUCCAACGGCGAUGCCAGCCUCUGCGCUGGCUAUUGCUCGCUUUUUUCUCCCUCUUAUCAACUCUUUCUUUCUUCCUUCUUUUUAUUCAUUCCACAUGUCUUUCCUCUUUUUCAUUUUGCAGAUCUAUUUUGUAGGUAUUUUUGUUGUUUUCACAAGUUAUGAUAGAUAGAUGACGAUGCCUGUCGUUCGCUAAAACUUCACUGGCUACCAGUAGUUUUUCUUGGAAAAUGGGUGGCUCUUCAUCACCUUUUUAAUUUGUUUAUGUUUUAAGAAUAUUUCAGAACAAUAAAUAAUUUCACGAUUCAAUUUGAGCCCAUGUUGUCUUAAGUUUAUAUAUGUUUUUUUUUUGUUUUUUUUCCCUAUUGUUUAAUAAGUUUCAAUUUUAGAAGUUUUUGUCUGCUCUUGUAGCACGAUUUUUAGUCUUGCUUAUACAUGUAAUCUUAAUUUUACAAGUGAUUUUAGGGAUGAUUUUGUUGUCGUCCUCUAUAGUUUGGUGAAUGCUCGAUUCUUUUGUCAAUUUUUGCUCGCCGUUUUGGACCAUCCGGGGCUGAUUUCCUUAUCAUGUUAAAUGCUUGCAAUCACUCCAGAUAUGUGGUGCUUGAGUUGUGACAAAGCCAAUUGUCAAUGUAUCAUAAUAUUCUAUUGAUGCUGAGGCUAAAGUCUUUUGUUGUAUUGACGGAUUUUGUCAUUUACUAUAUACGACGAGUGUUUGUUAUUUUUGUUCCUGAAUUGUAUGACUCCAUUCAUUAAAUGAAUUAAUGAAUUUACCUUUCAAAAAAAUAUUAUUCACAUAUAUAUAUUUAUAGUUUAAUUUUAGUUUCUUAAUAAAUGAUGCAUUAUUUUAGUUAAAAAAGUAUUAUUAUUGUAUACAUGUAAAUAUAUCUCAAUUACAUCCAUAUAAAAAUAUACAUAUAUAAAUGUAAGUUUUAAAAUUAUUAAUUUUGUUCAAUAAUUUAAUCUAAUAACUAUUAAUUUUAAAUUUACUUAUAGAGAAAUUAAAAUAGUUAAGAUAAAAAAAAUUUAAAAUUAGUUCAAGUACCAAAAUUUUGUACAAUAUUAACCAAAACAAGUUGAAACAAACUGAAAAUUGGACCAAAAUCGAACAUAAACUAUUUGAUACGGGUUUAGAUUCAUAAUAAUUAACCAGUUCAUUACCAACUACCAUAUUAAAAGCAUACAAUUUUGGGUUGUAUAAUAUGGUUUCUCAUCGGACAAGUUGACGUUUACCAUGAUUGAGAUCAAUUUUGUAUAGGAUUUUAACGAAUCAAUAACUUUUUUCAAAAUCGUAAUAUUCAUCGUUGGUAAUAGUAUUAAUCUUUUCCUUCUAAAAAGAUAAACAGACCACAUGAUUGGAGAAACACUUUGACUGAGCAUUUGGUUGAGAAAUUUUUUAUCAGGAAAGGAACUAUCAUACAUUCAACUUCUCCUAUCACCUUAACAUUAAUACAAAUCCCACCUACGGUAUCCAAACCCCAUUCUCUGAGCUUCAAUUUUUCUUCCACAUAAAGCACUAGGAUAGUGGAAUUUUCUGGAAUUGAAGUAAAUUAAGGAUUUGCUGAGACGGAGAGGUUGAUACUUUACAGUGAAGUGUUUAAAUUUUUUAUAUAGACCUGCUUGAUAUAAACUUGAAAAAAUAAUCGCCAGCGACUUGAUUUUAUAACGCUGUGAAUUUUUGUGCUUUUUACAGCAUGUUGAAGUUCCGAUCCCAACUCCAAAUAAAGGUGAAAUUUUGCUUAAACUGGAGGCAAUUAGUCUAAACCCAGCUGACUGGAAAAUACAGAAAGGGAUGCUGCGCCCACUUUUACCUAGAAAAUUCCCCUUCAUACCUGGUAGUUUAUAUAGUCUCGAGACUCUUUCUUUUUAUGAACGAUGUUUGAACCAGACCGGUAGGGGUACCGGUCCAGAUAAUGUCUUUGAACUGGUACAGACCGGUUGAACCGAUGGUUUACAUUUGUGGAGCUUGCUUUAGUUGCAACCAUUGAUGGGAAAAAAUGUGUCUAUUUGUUAACUCAAGUUAUCAUUAAAGGACAGAAUUUGUCUGGCAUAUCCUUCUUUUAUAAUUAACCAACAAAAUAAUAGACUGGUUUGUAGGUCUCUUAGUUUAAGCACUUGUGGUUAUUUGAUGGUAAUUUUUGGCAUCCUAUUGUCAUAGAGCUAAUGCUUUUAAAACGUGAAGAUUUGAUAUCUCAAAUGAAAGUUGUCUAGCUAUAUACCAUUUGCAAGUUAUAUUAAAGAACCUGUCUUCAGUAAGCUUUGCAGUUUUCUCUCUGUUGAUAUUUGGAUCGCCGCAUUUUAAUCAUCGAUUAAAGAUUUUUAUUUUCUUGUGCAGCAAGUGAUGUAGCCGGAGAAGUCGUACAGGUUGGAUCAGGAGUCACAAAUUACAAAGUUGGGGAUAAAGUUGUAAUCGAUUCAAAGUAUCCCCUAAGUAAGGCUGAGGAAGCAUGGGCUAAGAGCAUUGAUGGUCAUGCCACUGGUAAGAUCAUUGUGGAGCCUUAAUCUAUGAAAUAUUACUUUUUACUUACUACAGUGAUGCUUGGAGGUCAUGCUGCUUGUGUGUAUAAUUGGGAUGACAUUGCAAAAUUUUCUUAAUGUAUGAAAUGUAUGGUUAAUAUACACAUUGGAUGACAUUGCAAAAUUUUCUUAAUGUGUUAUAAGCUUUGCUUCCACAAAUUUAGCUUUCUUUUAUGUGUUUCCUACUUUUCCUUUAGACUCAUAUGUGUUUUUUUCAUGUCUAUUUUAUAAUUUAUAUUCAGAGUUAAUAGCCAUCUUUUCUAAUAAUAGCGAUUUUAAGAUUAAAAAUACUUGUUGAAAUUUGUAUAGCUUUUCAUUGGUUGCAUAUUUCGAAAUUUUUUAAAAUUAAAGAUUUACUUAUAAAUUAAAUAUCUUGUUAAUAAUAUCUAUUAUAUAUAAUAUUUGAAAGUUUAUUGAGCAAAUAUUUUAUGAAUUAUAUUUUGUUAAAAAAUAUUUAAAAUUUAUUAAAUUACUUUUUUUUCAAUUAUUUAUUGUAACACAUUAAUUUUAAUUUUUAUAAGAUGUCGUAAAAAAUAAAAAAAAAUAAUUAUAUAAAUAAGUGUGACACUUAUCACACCCUUAAUCCACUUGUAAAGUAUAAAAAAUUUCAUUCGCGAUGUAUCAAAUAAUUACCCAUUAUUUUUUAUCGUAUUGACCUUUGAUUAACUGAUAACAUCAAUUUAUUCAUCAGUCCAAAUAAUAGCCUCAACGUACUUCACAAAUACAAAUAAUGUAUGGAAUAAUUUUCCUUUGAAAUAUUUUUUCUAAACCUUGCGAACAUAUCUGUAUAUCUAUUACCUUCUUUACUGUUUGAACCGAUGAAGGGGAAUCCUGCAAUCUAUAGUUGAAGUAUGCAGUGAAUCAAAAUUUAUUAUCACACCAACUGAAUUAUCUUUUCAAUCUCAUUUCUUUAACCUUCACGAUGAUAAUUUAUUGGUUAAAUCUAUUAUUAGUCUAUCUAUUAUGCGUAAGUUAUAGAUUUAGGGUCCCUUUGGAUGGAAGUUUUUUUUAGUACGGUGCGUUUAGCUUUUUCUUUGUCUCAUGUUACCGUAUCAAAUCUCACCACUACUACUGUUUUUACACUAAUCGCAGAUAAACGCACCGCCUAUCCAAAAGAGCCCUUAAUCUCUAUACUUUAAUUUGGUAAAUUUUAAUCCAUGAACUUUUUGAAUUCGUCAAUUUUAAGUACUUUUCAAGUUUUAAAAUUUUAGCCAAAACCCGAAUGGUAGCAAUUAAAUUUGUUUUGGUUAAAAUCUACUAUUAGUUAUAGAUUAUGCGUAAUGUUUUAAAUUUAGCCCAUAUGCUCCUAUUCGAUUAUUGUUAAUCCCUAUAUUUUUUAAAAUUCAAAAUUUCAAUAUUGACGCAAAUAACAACUGCUAAAUUCAGUAAUUGUUUCUUUUGUGAGUAGCAUAUUAAAAUAAUAAGUUAACAUGACAUAAUAUGUUUGCUGCAUAAGAUUUUGAAAAUAGUAAACAUAUUAAAUCUAAUGGUUACCAUUUAGUUAAGAUUUUGAAAAAUACAUGUUUAAAAUUAACCAAAUUAAAGUAUAGAAACUAAACACACAACUUAUAGAUAGUACAAAAGUUAAUAAUGAAAAUUAAUCUAAACUAUUAAAAACUAUUAAAUUUUGUCACACAUUUAAUAUGGGUGAAAAUGCAUGUAACAAAUUUUAAAAAAAUGAAAAAAUUUGAUAUGAUAACAAAAAAUGGAGUUGGAAAAUUAAACAAACAUCAUAUUUUACGUUGAUGUCUCAUUAUGUCUAUCUAUUUUUUUAGAUUUUAUAUAAAAAAAUUACACUUAAAAUUAUUUCUAUUACUGAUUAAAAUAAUAAAUUUUUGAUAAAUACACUCUUAAAUUGAUAGACGUCGAAACCACCAAAAAUAAUUCUUACAAAAUAACUCUAAAUAGUAGUAAAGAGUGGUAGUAGGGUCGAGUCCAUAGGGAUUGGAUGUUAUAAUCAACUUCCGUGUUUAACUUGUGAUCAGAAUUUUUGUCAUGUUGAAAGUAGUGGCAAAAGUCGUGCCCAUGACUCCAAACGGGCCUGCUGAAAAAUAAACAAAUAAAUCAGGGAGUUUUGAAAUGUUUAGAAACUAAAUAAUUGAAAUAGCAUAAAUAAAUAAUUAAAUAAAUUAGAAAUUAAAUUGGAAAUUAAACUCGGAUUUGGUAAUCAAAGAUAAUAAGCCUUAGCCCUAGACUCGGUGGACUCCGGAUUUUUGAAUCGAUCCUUGAAAAUUAAUUUUUUCCUCCAAAUAAUAAGCUGGUUAUAGCAUUUAAGAACGUCAUAACCACCAAUUCUUCUUGUCGUAGCUAGUCCCAGUACAACCUGCAAACCAACCCUUACUGAUUAUCUAAUCGAAUACACGUGUUCCCAAUUCAAGAUUCUGGCGACCUUGCUCUCUGAAGAACCCAACUCGAAUUAAUGGCCUCAACCGCAUGGGUCGUUUAAACCUGAUCACUUCUUCCUUGAUUUGUUAUUGGAGAUUCGAAUACAGCACGGCCGACUCGUUUCUCCAACUGUCAGCAAACAUGACUCCAACCCAACGUGCACUUUUUGACUUGAAAUUGAGUUAACUUUAAGGGAUGAGUUGUCAAUUCCGAUACUUAGGAAAAAUGUGAAUACUAAUUGAAAAGAUUUUUAGUAUGGAUACGUAUCUCACGAUUCCCAACCAGAAAGAACACCGACCUAAAGCUAAGAUGAAAUUUUGUGAAGCAUGGAUUUAAUCAUGCUUUGGUUGACUAUGAUUGGAUUUGAAUGAAAGAUGGUGGAAAUUGGGAAAGGAAAGGGCUUAGAGGAGAAUUAGACCAAUUUUGAAAGAACAAAGAAUUGGAAAUGAAGUAACAGAAUGUUACGCACCAAAUUUGAGAAAAGAAAAUAAUUCUAUUCAAUUCCAAAUUGAAAUCAAAAUGUGAAAUUAACUGUGUCUUUUCUAAGUAUAUUAAAGCCUUAUUUAUACCCAUAGUAUUUAUUAAUUUUGGCUUUAACCACUUCAACAUAUAAUUAAAAUUAAAUAAAAAAAUAAAAUAAUAUUUUUUUUAUUUUUGACUUUUACAAAGUCAAAAAAAUCUGACGAGUCCUUGGCUUUCUCUACAUUUUUUAUUCGGCCUCAUUUCAUUAAUUGUAUUUCAAUUUGGUCCUUUUCUGCUCGUUUUUGUCUCUUAGCGUCCCAAUUGCAUCCUUGAUAAGAUUAAAACAUAAAAACACUAAUUUAGCAGGGAUCAAUUCAGAAAUAAACCGAAUUAAACACAAAAUAUCAUGCAAAUUAACAUGUUAUCAUAAAUAUAGUGGAGUAAUAAAUAAUAGAUAGAUAAUAUAUUCACUCCUACGUCUUUUCUCAAUCCAUAAAUAAGAGAAUAAUGUGUUUUAGCAUACUCAAACUUACAUUCUAUUGUAUUAAUAAUAAUAUUUAUAUCAAUCAAAGCUAAAACUUUAUCAACUCCACUCCUAAGUUUAUAAUAUAUUAGAGACUUAAAUAUGGUAACAGAUAAUAGAUAAUUAUUUUCCAACCUACCAAAUUAAACAUUUCGAGAGAUUUCUUGCAAAAUCAUCGAGGGUAUAUCCGUCAACUCAACAAUGUGGUCCCCAUUUGUUUAAAUGGUUAUGGCAAGCAGUUAACAAUACAAAUCUCCACCUACGGUAUCCUCCGCCAUUCUCUGAACUUCAUUUUUCCUUCAAAAAAACAAAAACAAAAAAAACUUCGAUUUUAUCUCUUUUAAUGAAAAAAAUGGCUGAAAAUCUUAUGCAUGCUUUACAAUAUAACAGCUACGGCGGAGGCGCUGCUGGUUUGAAGGUAAAUAUCUACUUUCUUAUGAUGAUUUAUUUUGCUUUCCGUAGUGUUUUGUCGCACAUAUAAUUUUGUUUAGUUGAGAUAUUAAUUCGUUUUUUAAGUGAAGAUUUCAAUUAAGGUUGUUAAUCUAGUGUUUAUAUUGAUCUAAGUUUGCUCUUCGGAUUCAAAAUACUAUCAGUUAAAUUUGUGAUUGAAAAGCAUGAAGAUGAUUUCAGUGAGUGCCGUGAGUUACUAUGGAAGUGGAAUUUUCUGGAACGGGAAUGAACUAGGGAUUUGCUAUUCGGAAUUAAAAUUUCAAAAAAAGGAUCUGAGAUUGAGAGGAUGACUUGAUAGUUAAAUGCUGAGCCAUUUUAUCGUCGGAUUCAAAAUUUUAUUUGUUAAAUUUGUGAUUGAAAGCGUAUAGAUAUUUGAAUGAGUGCUGCGAGGCAGUAGGAUAGUGGAAUUUUCUGGAAUGGGAGUAAAUUAAGGAUUUGCUCUUUUGAAGAGAUCUGAGACUGAGGCUGAUACUUGACAGUGAAGUUGAGUGUUUAAAAUUUUUAUAUGGACCUGCUUGAUAUAAACUUGAAAAAAUAAUAGUCAGCGACUUGAUGUCAUAACAGCUUUGAAUUUUUUUGUGCUUGUUACAGCAUGUUGAAGUUCCGAUCCCCACUCCAAAUAAAGGUGAAAUUUUGCUUAAACUGGAGGCAACUAGUCUAAACCCAGUUGACUGGAAAAUACAGAAAGGGAUGCUGCGCCCAUUUUUACCUAGAAAAUUCCCCUACAUACCUGGUAGUUUAUUUAUUUUAUCCUUUCACGACUGUUUUGGUCUUGAAAUAUUAUCGAGACUCUUUUAUUUUUACUUGGUUAGUGGUAUUUGUGUUUAAUUUACACUAUCUGUUAAGUUUCUCAAGUUACAUCAGUCUUCAAUAUCUGGGUUUGUUGUAGUACCAUGUCAAAUUCCCAAGCAGUAUUAAACUUGGAAUCUAAUUUGCUUCGAUUUACAUUGUGAAGUUUGCUUUAGUAGUAACAAUUGAUGGAAGAAAUGUGCAUUUGUUAGCUCAAGUUUUUAUUAAAGGACAGAAUUUGUCUAUUUGUUAAGGCAUAUCUUUUUCUAUAAUUAACCAACAUAAUAAUAGGCUGGUUGGUAGGUCUCUUAGUUUAAGCAGUUAUGGUUAUUUGAUGGUAAUUUUUGGCAUCCUAUUGUCAUGGAAGAUUUGAUAUCUCAAACGAAAGUUGCCUAUAUACCAUUUGCAAACUAUAUUAAAGAACCCAUCAUCAGUAAGCUUUGUAGUUUUCUCUCUGUCUAUAUUUGGAUUGCCGCAUUUUAAGCAUUGGUCAAAGAUAUUUUUUUCAUGUGCAGCUACUGAUGUAGCGGGAGAAGUCGUAAAAGUUGGACCGGGAGUCACAAAUUACAAAGCUGGGGAUAAAGUUGUGUCUAUGCUCCAUCAUUUUGUAAGUUCUCAUUCUCAUUCUUAAUCCUUCCCCCCACCCCCCACCUGAAAAAACAAUCAGCAUAAAAGCUCUGGCCCUUAGGCUCUCAACUGGCAUGUCAUUAAUCAUUCUGAGAACAAUCAGAAAGGAGAUUUCUUCAUGAAGAGUGGAAGAAUCACCAGCAUUUUACUAGCUUAAUAGAUCACAAUUUGAAAAAUUGUUAAUGAUAUUUGUGUUUUUGGUACUAGCUCAAGCAAUUAAUUGGGCACCGAGCUUGGUAGGACUUUAGGCAACAAUUCUUGAGGUAAAAUAUGGAUCUCCUUAUGGCCAAAAAAUCAACUUCAGAAUCUAACAAUGACAGAACAACAUAAAUUGUAGCCCCAUAAAAAGGAUUUUUAUGGACUGGUUCUACAUUUUUUGUUCUAAAUAAACCAUGUUGAUCUUCCAAUGAGUGAUCUUGAGUAGCUCUAGUUAUGAGAACUGGUUAGCAUUGGCCUGCUUGCCUGAUUAGAUUAAUCAAAGUAAAUUAAAGCUGUCAUCCCCAGAAUUUGAAAUCCUGAAAGCUUUUGGCUUUCUUUAUUUUGCUUGUAUUGAUAGUGAUGCUAGAGAAAUAUAGGUAUAUUCAAUGUUUCACUGGCCUUAUUACAACUAUAGGAUUAUCCUGAGACCCCAGAUCUUAUUACUACUUCUACUUUUCAUAUCGAGUCGUAUCGUGUUUAGAAUGCAAAAACUAUCUACGUGGAUAUCAUUUCUGAGGUAGUGAUUUUACUCUCAUCAUGUGGCCAUUUGGCUGAGAGAAACCUAGAUAUCAUUACUGCAGGCCAGUGGUUCAGUGAAUUCAUCUUCUAUUCGUAUUAUCAAUGAAUCAGAAUCAGUUAUGUCGAUUGCUAUGCUAUCUUCUAUUAUGAAUUAUUUGCAAUGAUAGACUGGAGGUGGACUAGCUGAAUAUGCUGUGGCUAAGGAGAAUCUGACUGUUGCAAGGCCAUUAGAAGUAUCAGCUGCUGAAGGUGCAGGUUUGCCUGUUGCUGGUCUUACAGCUCACCAGGCACUCACACAGUCGGCUGGGGUCAAGCUUGAUGGAAGUGGCCAGCAAGUAAACCUCUUGAUUACUGCUGCUUCAGGUGGUGUAGGUCAAUAUGCAGUUCAACUAGCAAAGUUUGGAAACACCCAUGUGACAGCCACUUGUGGGGCUCGCAAUCUGGAUUUCGUCAAAAGCCUCGGAGCAGAUGAGGUUCUUGACUACAGAACUCCCGACGGUGCAGCUCUAAAAAGCCCUUCGGGUCGCAAAUAUGAUGCAGUGAUCCACUGUGCAAUGGGCAUUCCUUGGUCUACCUUUGAACCUAAUCUAAGUUCAAACGGGAAGGUAAUCGAUAUAACCCCAGGUCCUAGUGCUCUGCUAACUUUUGCUAUGAAAAAGCUUACCUUCUCAAAGAAGAACCUGGUACCACUGCUAUUGUCACCUAAGAAGGAG
rnacentral:lncRNA from 1 species